rnacentral:rRNA from 1 species
AUUGAACGCUGGCGGCAGGCUUAACACAUGCAAGUCGAGCUAGCGGCGGACGGUUGAGUAAUUUCUGGGACACUGCCUUAUGGAGGUGGAUAACUACUGGAAACGGUAGCUAAUACCGCAUACCAUCAGAUUUUCCCAGAUGGGAUUAGCUAGUAGGUGGGGUAAUUGCUCACCUAGGCGACGAUCCCUAGCUGGUCUGAGAGGAUUACCAGCCACACUGGAACUGAGACACGGUCCAGACUCCUACGGGAGGCAGCAGUGGGGAAUAUGGCACAAUGGGAGCAAGCCUGAGGCAGCCAUGCCGCGUGUGUGAAGAAGGCCUUCGGGUUGUAAAGCACUUUCAGCGAGGAGGCGUUACUCGCAGAAGAAGCACCGGCUAACUCCGUGCCAGCAGCCGCGGUAAUUC